rnacentral:lncRNA from 1 species
AAAAACAAAACAUGAUAAAACAUUGUUUACCGAAGCAUUUCAUAAAAGAAAUGUAUUUUCAUUAUAAUGAAAACUCGGGGUGUCAUGUUCCGAUACAGACCAAUAAGCAUAAACGAAUACAUUACAAGUCAUAUAACAAAUAUAAACAUAUGCAGACUUGUAAACAAAACAACUUGAUGGUUCAUCCAUCUCAUGCCCUUCUGCCACUACCUGUAAUACAAUUUAAAACUGAGUGGGUCAGGCUUGGGAGCCUGGUGAGCAUAUAGGGUUUUCAACCCACAAUAAAUAUCAUAUUUAAUUUUCACCAACCAACAAUAACCCAAUUACCCAUUCCCGUUAUUCUCACUUUAAUGUCCCUAAAACAACUAACAUAAGGGACCUAGUCUAAGAAUAUUUCAUCGGGGCGACAACACAUGCUUCGGGGGUACCUCAGCAAUAUAAGUCAAAUAAGGCAACCAUGAGGGGGAUGGAGUACAGCGAAUGAACACCCAAGUUCAUUAACACCUACAGGUGGCGAACCUGCUAAUGUUUCCACAAGACUGUCUAGAAUAGCCAGUGGUCGUCAUCUAAACUCCGCUAGAUGACUCAAUCAAACAACAACGAGGCCUCUCAUCUGUUUAUUACACACCAACUGUCUACCCAUGUUCUACCCAACAUAUUAGUAGAUAAAAAUAUACAUUUGUAUACAUAGUUUAAAGAAAACCUGUAUAGCAUGCUUUAAUCAACACAUAUAUCACAUAACAGAUGAGGCACACACACACAUAACACAUAUCUCAUAAAGAAAUAAGCAGAUCUAUAAGAUAGAAGAGAGUGAAUACUCAUUCACACAUAACACAACCAAAUAUAUACACAUAGCACGUAUUUUUAUAUAAAAUACUUCGUAUUAUUGUAUUAGAAGAAAUAACUACACACUCACUUGAUCAGAAGAUGAUCGGACAGCACUACGGCUUAUAGAAGUAGUAAUCCACAGCAGAUCUGGAAGAUCUUCUCGAAAAUCGAACUUCUCGCGGGCAGAGCUUCGACUCGGGAACCGCACUUUUCGGGAUCUUCAGGAUCUCGGGACUUGCCUCGGGGCUAGAGUAUGAUACCGGGACUUCGGGGUAGCUUCGGGGGUUUUUGCACAGAGCUUCGACACGAAAACGAGAGGGAAUUGGCAAAAAUACCCGGAACCCUCGCAUCCUAUUUAUAGGAGGCUGGAGCCUCGGAGUACGCGGGGCGUACUGCGUUACGCGGGGCGUACUGCCCAAAACGUCAUUGCUUACGUAUCCGAAGUGCUCGAGUGCGAGUGUCGACAUCCCUCGGAGUACGCGGGGCGUACUCGAGUACGCGGGGCGUACCUCGGAUCAGAUCGGUGACUCCUUCGGAUAAUGCUUCCGAAUUUUGAAUUAAAAAUAAAUACAAAAUGAUUAAUAAACUUCGGAAAUUCAUAACUUCUUCAUACGAACUCCGUUUUCGACGUUCUUUAUAUCCACGCGAAGGUGAGACCACGCUCUACGACUUUCGUUUAGACUCCGUCGGCUAAUUUUGACUUUAUUUUUAUUAAUUAUUUUUAAUAGGCCGGGACAGAAACUUUCGUUAUAAAUUCAUAACUUCUUCGUUUGACGUCCGUUCUCGCCUAACUUUUUAUCGUUUCAAUACCAACAAUGAGAUCUUCGAUUCUCAUUUAGAUUGCUUCGGCUAACAACCGCUCGAUCUCAAAUCGAGUAAAACAGGCUGUAUAUCGCUAAGCCGGAACUUCGAUAAAUCAUAACUUCCUCAUACGAAGUCAGAUUUGGGCGUUCUAUAUAUAUUCGGAAACCUCGUUUCAACUACUACAACAUUAACCAAAGAUAUUAAGUUUAUUUUACACUUAAAUUUUGACGCUUAUUUUUAUUCUUAAUUAAUCAAACCACAUAAUUAAGCAAUUAAGCACAAAACACAUAAUACUCAAAUAAUACAAUCUUAUUAUUUCAAAACGGGUUACAAAGGUUAACCUAGACUAUUACAUUGCUAAAAAUGGCAAGCCCGGAAACACAGGCGUUACAAUUCUCUCCACCUUAGAAUGAUUCCGUCCCCGGAAUCACACAUCAACAAACAAAUGCGGAUAGCGACUCAACAUGUCACUCUCCGUCUCCCAGGUGAGAUUCGGCCCAUUCGUGUGUUUCCAUCGGACAAGCACUAACCCAACCAUUUUGCGUCGCAACUUCUUAGUCUUUCGGUCAACAAUUGCCUCUGGUUCUUCAAUCAACCUUUUGUUCUCAUCAAUUCUCAAUUCAGAAAUUGGAAUUAUAUCGGGAACUUCUCCCGUGAACUUCCUCAAAUAACACACAUGAAAGGUGUUGUGAAUUCCAUUCAGUUCUUCGGGUAAUUCGAGCUUGUAAGCUUGAUUCCCAAUCCUCUGAAGGACUUUAAACGGUCCAAUAAACCUUGGACUCAACUUUCCCCUUUUACCAAAUCUUAUAAGUCCCUUCCACGGCGAGACUUUAAGCAAAACCGAAUCUCCAACCUCAAAAGUCAUCGGUCUUCGCUUCUUGUCAGCAUAGCUCUUUUGACGAUCUUGAGCUGCUAACAUUCUUUCCCUAAUUAUUUUCAACUUUUCAGCAGUUUGAUGAACCAUCUCCGGUCCCAUAAACUGCUUUUCCCCAGCCUCAAGCCAACAAGACGGCGUACGACACUUCUGUCCAUACAAAGCUUGAUAAGGUGCCAUCUUAAUGCUCGAGUGAAAACUAUUAUUAUAGGAAAAUUCUACCAACGGUAAAUGUUCAUCCCAAUUACCUAGGAAUUCCAAGGUACAUGCUCUCAGCAUAUCUUCAAGUGUUUGUAUUGUUCUUUCACUCUGACCAUCAGUCUGCGGAUGGUAAGCUGUGCUUAAACAUAACUUGGUACCCAUUUCCUCUUGUAGACUUUUCCAAAACCUUGAGGUGAAACGGCUAUCACGAUCCGAUACAAUCGUUAACGGAACACCGUGAAGCCUCACAAUUUCCUUCACGUAAGAAUUCGCAAGCUUUUCCAUAGACCAUUUCUCCCUGGCCGCUAUGAAAUGCGCACUCUUAGUGAAUCGAUCAACGACCACCCAAAUCAUGUCGUGACCAUUCUUUGUUCUGGGCAGUUUAGUGACAAAAUCCAUAGCAAUGUCUUCCCACUUACCCAUAGGCACAGGCAAUGGUUCUAAACUCCCGUAAGGUUUCUGAUGUUGUGUCUUGACUCUCGCACAAGUCACACACUCGGCCACAUACUUUGCAACAUCAAGCUUCAUCGUCGGCCACCAGUAGUAGGGUUUCAGGUCCCUAUACAUUUUAGUGCUACCCGGAUGAAUUGAGUACAUGGUUUUGUGAGCUUCUUCCAUCAGAAGAUCCCUAAUUCCUCCUGACUUAGGUACCCAAAUACGAUCUUGGAAUACCUUCAGUCCAUGACCGUUAGUACCAAACACCAACGUUUUACCCAAACGUUCCUCCUUUCGGUCAUUUUUCUCAGAAGCUUCCUCUUGAGCUUUCUUUAUACUUUCCACAAUAGUCGAGACAACUUCAAUUCUCAACGCUCUUGGCCUCUUCCUUUCAAGAUUGACUUUCCGACUGAGAGCAUCAGCAACAACAUUAGCUUUACCGGGGUGGUAAAGUAUCUCGCAGUCGUAGUCUUUAAGUAAUUCUAGCCAGCGUCGUUGCCUCAUAUUCAAUUCUUUCUGAUUAAAGAGGUAUUGGAGACUCUUAUGAUCAGUGAAAAGUUUGCACUUCGUGCCAUAGAGGUAAUGCCUCCAUAUUUUCAGAGCGAAAACUACCGCUGCCAACUCCAAAUCAUGAGUCGGGUAAUUCUUUUCAUGCUCUUUCAGCUGUCGAGACGCAUAUGCUAUCACCUUUUCUCUUUGGGUCAAAACACAACCCAAUCCAACACCAGACGCAUCGCUAUAAACAGCGAAGUCUUCAACUCCAUCGGGUAGAGAAAGUAUCGGUGCCUCGCAUAGCUUCUUCUUUAACUUCUCGAAUGCUUCUUUAUGCUUCUCACUCCAAGCAUAAGUAGCUCCUUUGUGGGUCAAAGCUGUUAAUGGAGUAGCAAUCGAAGAAAAGCCUUGGAUAAACCUUCGGUAAUAUCCGGCUAAUCCUAAAAAGCUUCGAAUCUCCGUGGGACUUUUCGGUUGUUCCCACUUCGUCACAGCUUCGAUCUUCGCUGGAUCAACCAUUAUCCCUUCUUGGUUGACCACGUGACCCAAGAAUUGGACCUCACGAAUCCAAAAAUCACAUUUGGAGAACUUCGCAUAAAGCUUCUCCUUCUUCAAAACUUCUAACACUUCUCGCAAGUGUCUGCCAUGCUCCUCCUGGCUUUUCGAGUAGAUCAGAAUGUCGUCUAUGAACACUAUCACGGAUUUAUCAAGGAAAGGAUUACAAACCCUAUUCAUCAAAUCCAUGAACGCUGCUGGAGCAUUGGUUAGUCCAAACGACAUAACCAAGAACUCGUAGUGUCCAUAUCUAGUUCUGAAUGCAGUCUUCUCGAUAUCUUGCUCUCUUACUUUCAGCUGAUGAUAUCCUGACCUAAGAUCGAUCUUCGAGAAAUAGCUCGAACCUUGCAAUUGAUCAAACAGGUCAUCAAUCCUCGGCAACGGAUAUCUAUUCUUUAUUGUUGCCUUGUUCAGCUCUCUGUAAUCGAUGCACAUUCUCAUACUUCCAUCUUUCUUCUUUACAAAUAACACCGGAGCUCCCCAGGGCGAUGAACUAGGUCUAAUGAAACCUUUGUCCAAUAACUCCUGAAGUUGCAUCAUCAGCUCCUUCAUCUCCGUCGGUGCUAAUCGAUAAGGUGCUUUUGCUAUUGGCGUGGUUCCUGGUAACAAGUCUAUUCUGAACUCCACUUGUCUAUCAGGUGGUAAUCCAGGAAGAUCCUCGGGAAAUACUUCCGGAUAAUCACACACCACUGGAAUGCUCUGCAUCACCUUCUUUUCUUUCUUAGCAUCAAUCACGAAUGCUAAAUAUGAUGUACAUCCCUUGGUCAAACACUUUCUGGCUUUCAUUAGAGAAAUGAUUCCAGAAUUCACUCUGCGUUUGUCCCCAUACACCAUAAACGAAUCUUUCCCAGGCGGGUUUACUUUAACUAUCUUCUUCUUGCACAAAAUUUCGGCAUCAUUGGCGCUAAGCCAAUCCAUUCCCAAGACGAUGUCGAAACCAUUUAGUUCGAUAGGCAAUAAUUCCUCGAGAAACUUAUUCCCAUUAAGGUCGAUCAAGACGUUUUUCAUACGAUGGCUAACAGGUACAAACUUGCCACUAGCUACUUCGACUAAUAAAGCAUUAUCUAGUCUAUCAACAGGCAAAGCUAGCUUUCUACCAAACUCAUGCGAAAUAAAGGAGUAGUUGGCUCCAGAAUCAAACAAUAUAUGAGCAGGUAAUUCGUUUACGAGAAAGGUACCUGAAGCGACAUCAGCUUCAUCUUUCGCAGCCUCAAGUGUCAUCUGGAAGGCUCUCGCCUUCGGCUUUGGUGGAAUGUUGGGCCUAGCUGCCUCCUUCUUCUUCGGACAGUCUUUCAAAAUAUGCCCCUCUUCAUUACACCCAAAACACAUCCUUUUGUUGUUCGGACAUUCAUUGGCAAAAUGUCCAACCUUUCCACACUUGUAGCAGGUCACAUCCUCGCUACAUUUCCCAAAGUGCUUUUUCUUACACUUAUCACACCACUUUGCUUCGCCUCCUUUUCCUCCAAACUUUUUCGAAUCAGAUUUCGAAAAUUUGCUCUUCUUACUGGAACCAGAUGUUCCUUCAAACUUCCUUUUCUCACCAACCUCAACCUUGACGGUGGUUCUCCCCUUGAUCAUGUUCUCCACAGACUUGGCAGCCCAGAUAGCUGCCUCUAGAGUAAGUGCCUGACGUACCGGCACCUCGUACUCCCAUGGAAGUCCCUUCGCAUACCGAUCCACCUUUGUCAGCUCGUCUGGAACGAUACGCAAGGCAAACUCCAUCUUAUCGGUGAAGUUAUUGGUGUACUCAUCCACUGACAUGCUACCCUUCGUCAAUGUCAAAAACUUGUUCUCCAACUCCAACAGAUUUUGAGCCGAGCAGAACUUGCGCUUGAACUGCACCAAGAACUCUGCCCAUGACAAUUGCAGUGGCUCAUUAGGGCUUAAGGUCUUCCCUAGAGUGUUCCACCAACGAACGGCUCCACCUCGGAAUUGUCGCACGGCAUAGAUAGUCUGCAACUUGCCUCUACAGCCACAUGUCAUAAAGGCUAACUCCAUUUCGGAGAUCCAAUCCAUAACCCCAAUCGGAUCCUCCUUUCCAUUGAAGGUCGAUGGUUUACAAGUCAAAAAGUCCUUGUACUUGCAUCCCAUUCCAUCAUUCCUUCCAUCAUGGUUAUCUUGCCUAACUAUCGGUGGGUUGGCUGGACCAACAGACCCACUGAAGUUUCCACCUUCCGAGUGCCCUUCAUUCAGUUCAGGCUCUUCCACACGAAUCGACAGUUCUUCACGAUUUUGUUGAAGCAACCGUCUAGUUUCAUCCAUCUGACGAUCCAACAUCGUCUGAAUCAUCAAUUGCACACCAGCCAUGGUUAUUGGCUCAGGUGCUGCUGCUACGACAGGUAUUGGCUCAAUCACUGGUGGUUGAUUCCUGUUUUCGUCAGCAUUUCCAACUCCACUUCUUGUUCUCACCAUUUUGAUCUACACCGAAUAAGGUGAAAUUAGAUCCUCAAUCAUGAUAGAUAUUCAAAUCAUCCUUAUCACUCCGAAACGUUUACAUGCUAGUUCUAAUAUCGUAGACGUACGCUUAGAAUCCUACACACAUAAGGUUUCUAGAUCCGGUCGGCAACAGACCAUAGAUCCGAACAAAUAAUAUCAUAUAUGGCAACAUAUAACAUUUAGCACAUAAAGCAUUUUAGGCAACUUUCCUAAAAUAAACUAGUGCUCGUGUCUAAAUCACAACAGACACACAUCUCAAAACUUCACUUAGCAUUCUAAGUUUAAGUCUAGAAAUCCUACAAAUUCCUAGUUCGCUUAAACUAAUGCUCUGAUACCAACUGUGACAUCCCCAAAAUCUCGGCCAGAAAAGACCGAUUUUCAUUUAUGCUUUUAAAUAUUUUCAGAGUAAAUCCUUUUGAUUUGAAAGAGUUGCGGAAUUUGUUCCCAAAAACAAAACAUGAUAAAACAUUGUUUACCGAAGCAUUUCAUAAAAGAAAUGUAUUUUCAUUAUAAUCAAAACUCGGGGUGUCAUGUUCCGAUACAGACCAAUAAGCAUAAACGAAUACAUUACAAGUCAUAUAACAAAUAUAAACAUAUGCAGACUUGUAAACAAAACAACUUGAUGGUUCAUCCAUCUCAUGCCCUUCCGCCACUACCUGUAAUACAAUUUAAAACUGAGUGGGUCAGGCUUGGGAGCCUGGUGAGCAUAUAGGGUUUUCAACCCACAAUAAAUAUCAUAUUUAAUUUUCACCAACCAACAAUAACCCAAUUACCCAUUCCCGUUAUUCUCACUUUAAUGUCCCUAAAACAACUAACAUAAGGGACCUAGUCUAAGAAUAUUUCAUCGGGGCGACAACACAUGCUUCGGGGGUACCUCAGCAAUAUAAGUCAAAUAAGGCAACCAUGAGGGGGAUGGAGUACAGCGAAUGAACACCCAAGUUCAUUAACACCUACAGGUGGCGAACCUGCUAAUGUUUCCACAAGACUGUCUAGAAUAGCCAGUGGUCGUC